rnacentral:rRNA from 1 species
ACGAACGCUGGCGGCGUGCUUAACACAUGCAAGUCGAACGGAAAGGCCCUGCUUGCAGGGUGCUCGAGUGGCGAACGGGUGAGUAACACGUGGGUGAUCUGCCCCUUACUUUGGGAUAAGCCUGGGAAACUGGGUCUAAUACUGGAUAGGACCAUGCUGUCGGUGGUGUGGUGGAAAGAUUAGUUUCGGUAAGGGAUGAGCUCGCGGCCUAUCAGCUUGUUGGUGGGGUAAUGGCCUACCAAGGCGUCGACGGGUAGCCGGCCUGAGAGGGUGGACGGCCACAUUGGGACUGAGAUACGGCCCAGACUCCUACGGGAGGCAGCAGUGGGGAAUAUUGCACAAUGGGCGCAAGCCUGAUGCAGCGACGCCGCGUGGGGGAUGACGGCCUUCGGGUUGUAAACUCCUUUCAGCCAUGACGAAGCCCUUGUGGUGACGGUAGUGGCAGAAGAAGCACCGGCUAACUACGUG